AACGAACGCUGGCGGCAGGCUUAACACAUGCAAGUCGAACGCCCCGCAAGGGGAGUGGCAGACGGGUGAGUAACGCGUGGGAACGUGCCCUUCGCUUCGGAAUAGCCCCGGGAAACUGGGAGUAAUACCGGAUACGCCGUAUUGGGAAAGAUUUAUCGGCGAAGGAUCGGCCCGCGUUAGAUUAGCUAGUUGGCGGUGUAAUGGACCACCAAGGCUACGAUCUAUAGCUGGUCUGAGAGGAUGAUCAGCCACACUGGGACUGAGACACGGCCCAGACUCCUACGGGAGGCAGCAGUGGGGAAUCUUGGACAAUGGGCGAAAGCCUGAUCCAGCCAUGCCGCGUGAGUGAAGAAGGCCUUAGGGUUGUAAAACUCUUUCGCCGGAGAAGAUAAUGACGGUAUCCGGAGAAGAAGCCCCGGCUAACUUCGUGCCAGCAGCCGCGGUAAU
rnacentral:rRNA from 1 species